AUGAUGUAUACAAGAUCCAUUUAUCUAUUGCGGAGGUAUAGAUCCCGUCUUGUUAUCCUUAGUAGCAAUGAUACAUACAUGCCGGUUCCCCUUCUAUCACUGGGAUCAAGCACCGUAAGAUCGAACCCACUACAAAGCACCUCUUCCAAUUGCAAGAUAAAUAGAUCAAGUUGGCCAAACAAAACCAAAAUAUUGGAGAAGAAAUACGAGGCUAUAAGAAAUCAUGCAUAUAAGAGAUCAAAGAAGACUCAAAUAACUUUUAUGGAUAAAAACAUAGAUCUGAUCAUAAACUCAAAGUUCAUCGGAUCCCAACAAACACACCGCAAAAGGACUUACAUCACAUGGAUCUCCAAGAGACCAUUGUAUUGA
rnacentral:rRNA from 1 species